rnacentral:rRNA from 1 species
ACGGCUCAGUAACACGUAGCUAAUCUACCCUAUAGUCAAGGAUAACCUCGGGAAACUGAGGGUAAUACUCGAUAGGAGAUAUUCCCUGGAAUGAUUUAUCUCUCAAACUCGCGCUAUAGGAUGAGGCUGCGGCGGAUUAGGUUGUUGGCGGGGUAAAUGCCCACCAAGCCAAAGAUCCGUAGGGGCUCUUAGCGGAGAGGCCCCGAGAGGGAAUCUGAGACACUAUUCCCAGCCCUACGGGGUGCAGCAGUUAGGAAUCAUCUGCAAUGCGCGCAAGCGUGACAGUUUGAACUGGAGUGCUUUCCAAUUGGAAAGCUUUUGUGAAAUGUAAAAAGUUUCGCGAAUAAGGACUGGGUAAGACGAGUGCCAGCCGCCGCGGUAAUACUCGCGGUCCAAGUCGCAGCCAUUUUUAUUGGGUCUAAAACAUCCGUAGCUUGCUUUGCAAGUUUUUUGUGAAAUCCCGUUUCUCAAGGGCGGGGCGAGCAAAAAAUACUACAGAGCUAGAGACUGGAAGACGUAAGAAGUAUGUUCGAAGUAGCGGUAAAAUGUGUUAAUCUCGGACAGACUAACAAGAGCGAAGGCAUCUUACGAGGACAGUUCUGACAGUAAGGGAUGAAGGCCAGGGGCGCAAAAGGGAUUAGAUACCCCUGUAGUCCUGGCAGUAAACACUGUACACUAAACAUCAGUACCUCCUCGAGAGGUAUUGGUGCUGAAGAGAAGUCGAAGAGUGUACUACCUGGGAAGUAUAGCCGCAAGGCCGAAACUUAAAGGAAUUGGCGGGGGAGA